AUACGUAGGGGGCAAGCGUUGUCCGGAUUUACUGGGUGUAAAGGGUGCUCAGGCGGGUUUGUAAGUCAGUGGUGAAAUCCCGGAGCUUAACUCCGGAACUGCCAUUGAUACUGCAAGUCUAGAGAUCGGGAGAGGUUGAUGGAAUAUCUGGUGUAGCAGUGAAAUGCGUAGAUAUCAGAUAGAACACCAAUGGCGAAGGCAGUCAACUGGCCCGAUUCUGACGCUAAAGCACGAAAGUGUGGGUAGCAAACAGGAUUAGAUACCCUGGUAGUCCACACCCUAAACGAUGAGUACUAGACGUUGAGCCUUUUAAGGUCCAGUGUCUGAGCUAACGCAUUAAGUACUCCACCUGGGAAGUACGAUCGCAAGGUUGAA
rnacentral:rRNA from 1 species